UUAAGGCCAAGACUAUUCCGGGAUUUGAAGUCGGGACUUUUGACCUUUGAUUUUAUUUUGAGACAUAAGUUGUGUAUGAAAUUGUUAGCUUGAACACUUAGGAAAAAUUGGGACCAUAAUUCAUAAAUUUGGAAAUUAAAACUCUUGCAAAAAAAAAAAAAAAAAAAAAAGGAAGAUGUGUGGAUUGAAGUGGUCCCCACACAUUGUUGUGGCCAAUUUUAAUUGGUCCAACACAUGUGUGGGCCCAAAGGCAAUAAGAGAUAUUUUAAGGGGACUUAAAAGAUGACCACUUAGUCAUCUUUCUCUCAUUUCACAUUCCCACACUUAGAAAAUAAAGCAAGAAGUUGAGGAACCAAAACCAUGGCUCACGGCCAAGACCAUGGAAAACCAAAUCCAAAUCAAGCCCCUCUAAAAAUAUUUCUUGGGUACAAAUCAACUAAUUAGAUGUCCCUAAGUAACUUGGAAGCAUUGUUGGAGUGAUCAAGUCUUUCAUUUAAGAGAUUUGCAAACCCUAGCCUAUUGGUGGAUUGAAGAAGAAAGGUGAGAUCUAAUCUUGUUUUUGAGUUAUAAAUGUUGUAUGCAUAUUAUAGUAUGUCAAUAUGGAUGAAAAAUCAUGAAAUGUAGUAUGUUGGAAGUUGGGUCGUGUAUGGUGUGUGAAGUUGUGUAAAUGGGUGUUGUGACUAAGUGAAGAAUUAACUCUAUUUAGUAUGUUGAUUGUUGUAGGGUGAAGAAAUGAAUGAGAACUAUCGAUGUAUGUAUAUAGGUGGGUAUGUAGCCGUGUAUAUGGCCUCCAAUUUGUAGCAAAGAAUGAAUUAAUAUCGCUUAGCGUCGAAAUGGUUGUUGUGAUGACUUUUGUGUUGGAAAUGAGAGUUAAAUACCCCGAAAUUGAUAUGGUAAAUGUGCGGACUGAUUUGGAGAACUUUGUGCAUUGAAUGCAAUCCUUAUAUAUGAGAACCAUUAAUAUAUAUGUAUGUGUAGUGUGGACGAAUGUGGGUCGUAUAAUAUGUCGAAGAUCGCAUUAGUAUCGCUUAACGUUUUAGUUGUCGUUGUUAUGAAUUUUAGUUGGAAAUGAGCAAUUAAUAACUCAAGAUUGAUGUUGAGAAUUUGUGGGCUGUUUUGAGGUUAGUUGUGCGUUUGACGUAAGUUGUAUAUUUUAUGAAAAUCAUAUCGUUCUAUUGUGGAUUGUGAUACAAAACAUGACUUGAAAAUGAGGAAAGUGAAAAAAAAAAGGGUUGCUCGGCUAAGGGGACUGUUUUCGGGCAACAUAGAGAAAAAUUCUUGGCUUGUUGGAAAAAUUAUGUGAAUUGUUUAGAAUGUUGUUAGUAUGGAUUUGGGUUAAUAAUCGAAUGUACGAACGAUAUUGUGGCUUGAAAGUAAGCCGUUGAAACGAAUAUUUGGAAAGUUGUUGAAAGAUGUAAAAGAGAGCUAUUACUGUUGUUUUGCCUUUUGAAUUGAUUAUUGAUGUUGCUAGGUUGGUUAUUGUGGUUGUUGUUUUUGAUUUUGAGCGAGAUAAAUUCUCGGGAUGGCCUAUUUAUAGGGGAAGUGCUGCCGAAUUUUCUGUAGAAUUUAAUGAUUAGUUGGAAAGAAUGGCUCAAGUGCCCUUAACUAAUGUUUGGUAUUCGUUGGCGUAUUUGUAGACCUUGGGGAGCCCGAGGCGUGGAUUGGAAAUUUACUUUAGAUUGACUAUUUUGGAAGUGCGUACGAGGUACAGACGCACAGCCUGGUGAUCCACCUGUUUAGGACACCCUUUCUGCUAUUCGGAGUGCUCCUCUCUUUCCGGAGCUUAUACUUUUGGUAUAUAUAUUUAUUAGUGCAUUUGUAUAUAUUCGUUCAUGGGUACGGCGGGGCCCUGUCCCGUCAUAUGAAUCUGUCGGUCUGUUUAGAGGUCUGUGGACAUGUUUGUGGGUUAGGGUCUUUCUGUAUGGAUGUAUGUACAUGUCGUUUGGGCGAUCCCAUACGCCGAGGCGGCCGGUCCGCAUAUGUUGUUUGGGCGAUCCUAUACGCCGAGGCGGCCGGUCCGUAUAUGUUUAUAUAUUGCUUGGUUAGCCCUGUGUGGCUUUUGUUGGUA